AGGUUAGUGCAAUGGCAUAAGCCAGCUUGACUGCGAGCGUGACGGCGCGAGCAGGUGCGAAAGCAGGUCAUAGUGAUCCGGUGGUUCUGAAUGGAAGGGCCAUCGCUCAACGGAUAAAAGGUACUCCGGGGAUAACAGGCUGAUACCGCCCAAGAGUUCAUAUCGACGGCGGUGUUUGGCACCUCGAUGUCGGCUCAUCACAUCCUGGGGCUGAAGUAGGUCCCAAGGGUAUGGCUGUUCGCCAUUUAAAGUGGUACGCGAGCUGGGUUUAGAACGUCGUGAGACAGUUCGGUCCCUAUCUGCCGUGGGCGCUGGAGAACUGAGGGGGGCUGCUCCUAGUACGAGAGGACCGGAGUGGACGCAUCACUGGUGUUCGGGUUGUCAUGCCAAUGGCACUGCCCGGUAGCUAAAUGCGGAAGAGAUAAGUGCUGAAAGCAUCUAAGCACGAAACUUGCCCCGAGAUGAGUUCUCCCUGACCCUUUAAGGGUCCUGAAGGAACGUUGAAGACGACGACGUUGAUAGGCCGGGUGUGUAAGCGCAGCGAUGCGUUGAGCUAACCGGUACUAAUGAACCGUGAGGCUUAACCUUACAACGCCGAAGGUGUUU
rnacentral:rRNA from 1 species